rnacentral:rRNA from 1 species
AUGGCUGAGGGGAGUGCUUCUUUUGACUGGGACAUGGCGGUCUCGGUGGCUGGGAACCACUAUACGAGCUCCGGCCAUGGCGGAGUUGCACAACACUUCGUCCAUAAUGAUGGUGGUGCUCCAGCCGGGGCGGUUGUCGUCCCGGGCGCUGGAUCAAGGGCUUCUGGUGGCAUCAGCAAGAUGGAUCCCACCAGCUUACCCGGCUACGGGAGCAGCGACGGCCCUACGGCAAUCACGGCGACUACUCAGGCGCUGCCGCCUGCCAGAUCUAGCGGCCAGGGGCUGACACAGUUCAAAAGGUCCUGGACCGUGGAGGAAGACACGCUGCUCAGGGAGAAGGUGCGGGAAUUCGACCAAGGGAGUUGGGCGGAGGUUGCAUUGUACCUCCCUGGCCGGAGCGGGAAGCAGUGUCGAGAGAGAUGGACCAACCAACUUGACCCCAACAUUGAGAGGAAAAAAUGGACCGAAGUGGAAGACAUGAAGCUGAUCAAGAUGCACCAGACUUGGGGGAACUGCUGGUCGGUGAUCGUCCGAGAACUCCCCGGACGGUCAGACAAUGCCGUCAAGAACCACUGGAAUGCCACCAAGCGCAGUCUGAACACGAAACGCCAUAUGAAGAAGAGGAACAGUGAGCAGCCACCUCCUGGCCAGCUCUCCCUUCUUAUGGAGUACAUCCGCAGCCUUGACCCGCAUACCGAACCACCCACAGAGACACGUCUAGUGUCCCCACCGUUGUAUCAUGACCAACAACACGGUGGGAAAACGAGGAUGGCCGAUAUAGACUCUGUCGUCGUCAUUGCCCCUACCGCACAGGCGCACCCGAGUUACCCUAAUCUGACCAUGACUGGUAUGUACUACCACCCAAACCCGGCCAACAUGCAGUACUGGGUGCCAGACUUGAAUGUCACCGAUGGGACAAAAGAGGGGUACUCAUACUACAUCCCUCCCAAUGCGCACCUGAACCACCACCAGUCGUAUGGUUUGUCUCCGACACAGAUGGUUAGCAAGAAAGACAUCCAGCAGGCAGCCAAUGCGAGCAUGGACAUGUAUGCAUUCACCGAACAACAUACCCUCCCAGUGAACAACCUGAAGGCUGCUGCAGAGAUGCACCGCGAGUCCUCCAUCAACAACCAACUGGGCAACAUGUGUGGUGGAGCUGGUGGCUGGUCCUACUACUAUGGCAUGGAUGCGGCUGGUUCAAGCGGCCCCACAGGAGGUAGUGGUAGUGGUAAUGACCCUGAAGGCAUCGACAUGGUGUAG